rnacentral:rRNA from 1 species
AUAGUCGGUGCUUAUGGCAAUGAGGUCACACCCGUUCCCAUUCCGAACACGGAAGUUAAGCUCAUUCGCGUUGACGAUACUUGGCUGGCGACGGCCCGGGAAACUAAAUCAGUGCCGACA